rnacentral:other from 1 species
CGCUAUCAUCAUUAACUUUAUUUAUUACCGUCAUUCAUUUCUGAAUGUCUGUUUACUCCUAUUUCAACCGGAUGCCUCGCAUUCGGUUUUUUUU